GUUUCUGGGACGCCUGGCAGACUUUUGGACCCAAACGUCAGCACACAGUCUUGAGUAGCAGCAACUUCCGACCAGAAAACUAUGUGACAGCCAAAUUGAAGCGGAGACAAGGAAUCUGUUAAAUGGACACUAGUCUCACAUGACAACAAAAAGACAGACGCACAUUCCAAUCAAAUUAGCAGGACGUCAAACCUCUCAAAGAGAAAACAAGGCAUCCCUGUGCUCUUCUUGGCCGCCCGGAUAUGUCCGACAUAACAGCGGAGACAUUUUGACCAAAGAAACCAAGCAUUCGCCACACACAGGUUCGGAAGGUGCAAAGAGGGCGAGCCCGAGACUGAGCUUUAAAGAAAAGACAAGUCUUGGCUUGAGUCAUCUGAGAAGUAUCCUGGCAUUCCAGAGGAAAACUUUACUGGGAUUUACAAAAAGGGACAAAGGGAGGGACAAAAGAAAACAAACCAAGCAGUGAUCAUCACUUAACACCAACUCCUCCGCAGAUAUAACCUACUGAGUUCUGAAUACUUGCCAGGAAAAUGAAUGUUAAAAAAAAUUCCGAACACCGCCAGUGAAGUUUUGUUUUCAUAUGCGUUUGUUUGAUAGUCAGCAGAAUUGUGUUGCUGAUCCAGGAAUUUUUUAAUAUCUUUAACAUUGUGAGUUUUUUUUCAACAAUUUUUCAACAACUUCCUUGAUUUCUCAGAGAAUAACAAAAACACAAGUUUAGGGACUCGAUAUUUAUAUAUAUUUGUGGAAUGUCAGAUCCAAAAAGAAUCUGGAUCUUGUGAAUUUAAGUGUAGUUACAUAAGGGGACUGUUGAAACCUGGAGGUAUGCAAUCUGAGUGACAUUCUAGUUUGUCAUUAUGGUUCAAAGAUGGCCCACAUGUUGAACUAAAUGGAGGGACGCCUGCAAGCUACUUAAGGCAGCCAAUCAUGUGUCAUACUAUAUCAUGCGACAUACCUCACUCUCCACAAUUAUCUAUAACACACACCCACCUUAUUAGACGGCGUAUUUAAGCAGAGCUAAUGUCCCGUCAAUCCCUCUGCUUUCCCGCUGCUUGCCCCUCCACCAUCCGCAAGUAUUUGCUCAACACUCCCAUUAUAUCUAUGUAAUCAAAUGGGAUUCAGACAGAGCCUAUAUGCCAAACCAUAACCUGUUCUACUGUUGCAAUAAACAUUUGAAUGUAAUUUGUCUGACUGAAAUGCAGCUACUGGGGUCAUAUACAGGCAGGAACCUGAUAGACACAAGAUAAUUGAAUUUGAAGGUUUUAAAAUCGGAGAAUGUUG